GCCCCGGGAAGCGGGCCAGACAGCGGCUCCGGGCGGCGGCCGCGCCAGCCGUCUACCCGCGGCGCGGGGAGGCCUCGGACCCCGAGAAGCGCGCCGCCCUCCCGCGCCCCUCCCCGGCCCACAAAAUGGCCCGACCCUCCGCGCUGCUCAUGACCCGCUCCGCUAAUUAGCCCAGAAGACUGAGACCCGCGGCGGGGCAACUUGACGAUUUAUUCCGUGCCCGGGGGAGGUCACCCGCGGUGCGCGCGCCGAUUGGCUGCGGCGAGCCGGGCGCGCCGGCGCGGGGCUGGCGGCCGCCACGCAGAGCGCGUGCACUUUCUGCCGACUCCGCAUCCCGGCCAGGCAAGGAGGCACGAGCGGGGCAGGGCGCCGGUGUCAGGGCCGCCCUGAAGCAACCUGAGGCUCGCGGCGGCGGGACAGGUUGGUCGUCAGUGCCCGGAACCACAGAACUGCCCCACCAAUCCAGCUGGGUGGUUUGGAAGAAAGGCUCCUUGCCGUUUGGGUGUUUAGACGUUACAGCCUCUACUUGAGUCUUCCAGUUGACAGUGGGCUCAAACCAUUUACAGCCAGAAGAGGUUCUGAAUUUACUCCAACUUCAUGGUACAGAGGAGGACACUGAAGCUGAAAGGAUGGAGUGGCUUGUGAAGAGCAUCACGGGCGUGACCCAAGACUCCAGGAAACACUGGAUUCGUUUGGCCGGCCAUCUCUGAUCUCAGAGCUGGCCGAGGUGUGGAAGAACCAACGUGAACACCUAGGCCACAGAAACACGCCUCUGUCUCCCCCCCAAGGAGGAGACAGCCUGGUGCAGCCGUUCGGCGCGACGGUCUGGAGAUGCACUACCUGGUACAGUGACCUGCAAUUCAAAUUCCAGCUCCCCUGCCUGCUCGCUGGGCUGCCUCAGAGCGCAUUUCCAUGCCUGAGUUCCUCCAUUUGGAAAACAAAUUAUUAGAUUAAAACAUAUAAAGUUG